AAACAGCUGCGUUUCUCCAGCAGGCCUACGGUGAUUUUAUUAGUAUCGUCGUCUGCGAUGUGCGUCUGCAGAUCUGCGUGUGACGCAGGCGACCAGCAGCCAAUGGCGUGACACACAAACGCAGCAGAGUUGCGCAGUUACAUUGCGAGAGGAGCGCAGCCAUUACACUUGAUCUUAAAUCUUUAGAAAACGUCGUGCGGAUUGCACUGGCCAAUCAGUUUUCUCUACAAAUUCCGUGACAGUAUUCUGAAAUUAGCACUCAAAUCCGAGCGGGAUUUUCGCGAUCUCUGCUUAGGAAAGUUGUGAAACUUUAUAAACCGGGUUACUUCACAAGGUGUAGCGCGUCUGCUAGUGUCAGUGUUUCUCAGCUCGCAUCUCACGCGCGCUUUGAUGCAGCGCGAUGAUGGGCACACCUCUGAAGAACGAGCCGUCUGCUGCUGGUUGCAUGCCGUUGUGUUCUGACCUUACGUCUACCGGCGACUCGACUGCACGAGCAUCAUCACAGCAGCGCGAGCAGAUCGAGGCCCCGACUCCUGUUUUACUCUAUCCCAUCAGCGUUAACAGUGCUUUAUCAUCUUCACCCAUUUUUAACAACAAAGUCCCACAUGGUGGUCGAGGGAUUGAAGCUGUUUCCACAUCUUCUGAGUUCACCCAUGGUGCCAUCGUGCACCUCAUCGAAGCGAUGCAGAGGUGCUGGGAUGUUUACAGCUCACGCGAGCGCUCGCUUCUCUUCCAGAGCGUUCAGAAAGAACUGGAAAGCCACGGUCACUCCUUACCCGUAGAGAAGAUUCGCCGCAAAUGGAAUAACCUCAUUGUUACAUACAAAAGAGUUAAAGAUCGCAGCUCGUUGUGUGGAGGCCAAACAAAGACCUCAUGGGAGUACUUCGAAAUGAUGGAUAAUAUACUAGGAAAGACUAAAUUUGCUCAGAGAGGCCCUGCUUCAGCCACUCUUGUUGGAUUUGCAACCACAGCCAAAGCAGGUGUAAGAUCAGAGGAUCAUGCGUCUAACAGCAUGCCGGUGGCUGCAAUGACCGCCUCGUGCCUCCUUCCCACUGGAAUCAUCACAUCCUCUUCCCAGAUCCCUACUCUUGUGACGUCCCCGGUGCUGUGCAAAGUUACCCCAAAAUUAAACCCCAGCCCCUCUUGUAGCACAGACACACCUCUGCCCUCCCUUUCACCAAAGCCAGUGCCGCUGGUGAACCGUCAGCCGCUGAAGCGGAGGCUACACCAUCUUCGGCUCAACUCCAUGGCCUCUCGUGUAGCUCAGCAGCAGGGGCAAUCUGAGGAACGCACCGCUCUUCUUCGCAGUUUCCUCACCGCUCAAGAAGAGCGCAUCCAUUUAGACGAGCAACACCAACGCAAGGUAGAUGUGCGUGAGCGACGCAAGGAAAAAUCAGCACGGGCCAUGGCUGAUGCGAUGGGGAGGAUGGCGACGGCACUGGAGCUGAUCUCAUCCAAGCAGGACACCAUUAUCGCUCUACUCCAGAGACUGGCUGAUAAGCACUAAUAUUGCUUUUAUAACAAAAUUGCAUUUAAUUUAAAGUAUAUAAAGUGUGUCCUGUUGUUCAUGGUACAAGUAAUUGAUUUGGGAACCUGUUUCUAGUUGAAAAAGCUUGAACGAUACUGGAAAACAUGGACUCUUUAACAUUAACAAUAUAUACAGAGCCUAUAAAAAUUAUUCCUUCCUUGUAAGUUUUCAUGUUUCACUGUUUCGCAAAGGGUUUUAUUUGGCUAUUUUGACAGUGAAUAACAGUAUUGUUUGAGUCCGUACAAAACUUAUUACAGUUAUGAAUAAUAAUAAUAAAACUCUUCUUUUUGAAGAUGUGUAGUUUUAAAAGUAAAAAUAAGAUUGCAUUUGUUUUAAUUAUUGUUGCCCUCAAGUGAACACUGGCAUAACACACACCACACACACUGCUCUUAUUCAGCAAUAUGCGUCUUUAGCCGUUCACAGGCCCCAGCUCUUAUUCUGAUACUCAGUUUUUAAUACUGUUUUGGAUAUAAAUCAGCUUUACUUGCAGUGAGUCGUUCCCAAGCUGAAC
ensembl:lncRNA